GGUAAUGACUAGAGUGGCGAACUGGUGAGUAACACGUAAGAAACCUGCCCUUUAGUGGGGGAUAACAUUUGGAAACAGAUGCUAAUACCGCGUAACAACAAAUCACACAUGUGAUCUGUUUGAAAGGUCCUUUUGGAUCGCUAGAGGAUGGUCUUGCGGCGUAUUAGCUUGUUGGUAGGGUAGAAGCCUACCAAGGCAAUGAUGCGUAGCCGAGUUGAGAGACUGGCCGGCCACAUUGGGACUGAGACACUGCCCAAACUCCUACGGGAGGCUGCAGUAGGGAAUUUUCCGCAAUGCACGAAAGUGUGACGGAGCGACGCCGCGUGUGUGAUGAAGGCUUUCGGGUCGUAAAGCACUGUUGUAAGGGAAGAAUAACUGAAUUCAGAGAAAGUUUUCAGCUUGACGGUACCUUACCAGAAAGGGAUGGCUAAAUACGUGCCAGCAGCCGCGGUAAUACGUAUGUCCCGAGCGUUAUCCGGAUUUAUUGGGCGUAAAGC
rnacentral:rRNA from 1 species